rnacentral:rRNA from 1 species
UGAUUAAUUUAAUGGCCGCGGUAUUUUGACCGUGCAAAGGUAGCAUAAUCAUUAGUUUAUUAAUUGUGAACUUGUAUGAAUGGUUUGACGAGAUAUUGACUGUCUCAUUAUUAUUAUUAGAAUUUUAAUUUUAAGUUAAAAUGCUUAAAUUUUUUUGUUGGACGAGAAGACCCUAUAGAUCUUUAAUUAAUUAUUAUUAUAAUUUAUUUGGGUUAUUUUUUAUUUAUAUUGAUAUUAACGUUUGUUGGGGUGAUAUUAAGAUAUAAUUAACUCUUAUUAUUAAUGUACAUUUAUUUAUGUUUAUUUGAUCUUAUAUUAUUAAUUAUAAGAUAUAGAUACCUUAGGGAUAACAGCGUAAUCCUCUUUAAGAGUUCUAAUCGACAAGAGGGAUUGCGACCUCGAUGUUGGAUUAAGAUUAAGUUUGGGUGUAGAUGUUCAAA